UGUGUGUCAUUGUCAUGCUGAAAGGUUCGAUUCCUCUUCAUCUUAAGUGUUUUAACAGAAACAAUUAUCAAACACAACACAGGUUUAUCCCAAAAAGGUGUGCAGCAAUUAUUGGCUCCCCUAUGAAUUCAUAUGAGUAUAUUCCCAUUGAUAUUCCCAACUGAGGUUGUAAUCCCUGCAGAACUCCAGCCAGUGGUCAACAUGGUGACGUCAUCUCCUGAGUCCCAGUGUGAGACCAAUGAAUGGUCUAUCCAGCCAUGAUCCUGAUAGAGGUCACAGAGGCGACCUCUCGGGUUCAGUUCUAGUUAGAGAUUGACGGCACAGCCUACCAAGUCCUGUUCUUGCCGGAGGCUGACAAGAUGGCCCACCAAGCCAUGUUCCAGUCAGAGGCCGAGGAGAUGGCCCACCAAGCCAUGUUCCAGUCAGAGGCCGACAAGAGGGUCCAUCAAGCCAUGUUCCAGUCAAAGGCCGAGGAGAUGGCCCACCAAGCCAUGUUCCAGUCAGAGGCCGACAAGAGGGUCCAUCAAGCCAUGUUCCAGUCAAAGGCCGAGGAGAUGGCCCACCAAGCCAUGUUCCAGUCAGAGGCCGACAAGAGGGUCCAUCAAGCCAUGUUCCAGUCAGAGGCCGACAAGAGGGUCCAUCAAGCCAUGUUCCAGUCAGAGGCCGACAAGAUGGCCCACCACACUCUGCUCAUGUCUGAGGAUGACAACACGGCCCAUCAAGCUCUGCUCAUGCCUGAGGCUAACGAGAUGGCUGACCAAGCUUUGCUCACGCCUGAGGCUGACAACACAGCAUCUCAAGCCAGUUUCCAGCCUAAGAAGCAUGGCGAUCAUGUCCCAGCCCAGCCUUCUGAUCCUGGCGAGCCUGUUGCUGACGCACCACCUGCUUUUUACAUGUAUGCCCAAUUACUAAAACAAUGCCUGCCUCAGGACUAUAAGUUUAGUGUGGACAUUUUGCCCAGAGGGCAGGACCGAUGAGGGAGAGGUUUUUGGGUGCUUGCGGGGGGGCACUCUGUCACGGAUUUCCCCUCCUCGAUAUAUUGUGAUUUCACAAUAAAGUUGAAAAAAGGUUCUGACAUGAUUUAACUUACAUCACAAAAACCUGCCAUUUUAACAGGGGUGUGUAAACUUUUUACAUUCACCCAGUACUUGGUUAAAUCGAUAGCAUUGAACAUACAACUAACACACACACACUUUAACUUACUA
ensembl:lncRNA